GUACGUACACUUGGCCACUUGGCUAACACUACCCAAUGCGACUUGAUCUCUGAUGAAUGCCAACAAAACUGAUUGUCUGAUUCUGUAGCCAGUUAAUGUAGUAGCUAGUUGGAGGCUACUCUAUAAAUGCUUCCAGAGUUUCAGUCAAAGAUGAAUUAGGUUCUGAAUGCAUGAAGGCUACUCUAUAAAUGCUGGAGGUAGCAUCGCAAUUUGAGCACCCAUUGCACCAAUUGUCGCCUCUCCAAAUACAGGGAGCAUACAGCUCGAUCGCCAGGAACAAUGGCAAAGAACUACUCAACCUCAAUUCAGUUGCUUAUGAUCCUCCUCGUUUUACUGGCUUUUGUCAGCGGCAUCCUCGGACAACCAGGUGGACCGUUCACCUGCUCACCUGAGGUCCAGGAAGACUGCCCCCCAAUCCCCAAUCCCCCACCAGUCUUCAAUCCAUAACUACUGGACGGAUGGAUAAGAAGCACGCACCGGGAUUGGGAUUCUCCCGUUGCGUAUGAAGUUUCCAUCUCAGACGAAUAAAAUGUUUUUGAGGUGCAGGUGUGGUGGUGGUGUCAGUGUCGGUGUCGUCACAUGUUGAAAUUUCCGUUUUCCUCAUGCUUUAUCAAUAUUAUGGGAUGUUCUCUCC